ensembl:lncRNA
UUUUUUUUUUUUUUCAUGUAUACAUACUAGUGUUUUUUUCCAGUGACCUGACCUUUCUAUGUAAACACAUACACGCACACACACUUGUAUUCAUGAAUAUGAGACCAAGUGCCAGUAACUCACUGGGCUGGGUGCUGGGGGUGCAGGCUGAGGACCGCAAGCAGCCGGCAACCCCCUACCCGCACCCUCCAGGGCGAUCGGGCCCUUGGGGGCUGUGGUUGCACCCACUGGCCCCCCACACCCAGCAGCUUUAGGGCUUCCUCCUCAUGCAGGCCAAGAUUCCAAACGCCAACCGGUCUCACAGCUUGUGAACCCAGGCCUCAGGUAUCUAAAAGCCCUUUUCCAUUCUGCCCCUGUCCUGAGGGGUCUUCCAGCUGGAGUGGAGGGGCUCGUCUUUGAAGGUGACUCGUCCCAGAGGGAAACGCAAAAUAAACAUCCGAGGGUUGCAUUUAUUUAUUUAUUUAUUUAUCAGGAACUGUGUGUGUCUCGGGGAGGGUUGCUGGGCUGUUCUCUCUAGCAAAAGGAACUAGGCUUGGAGUGAGGGGUAGGUCACAGCGGAAGGAUGAAGAUGGGGCCAUCAGAGCUCCAGCCACACUGGGCCGUGCUGGAGCAUCAGAGCUCCAGCCACACAUGCCCAGUGGGCAUUGCCCGUGCUCUGGGUCAGGGCACCCUCGGCCACCACUUUGAAUGCAAAAGCUCUGCUCCUCCCCCUUGCCCAUGGCAGGAGCUGGGUCAGAACGGCUCGGUGUGAAGCAGGUCUGGGCUGAGUACCAGGGCUGGCAGGCAAUGCUUGGCCUCCACUUCCGGGAAGUUUCUCCAGCUUUUCCGUUCUCAGCCUGUGCAGCACUUGUCUGUGGCGGAUCGGGCCUGGUCUGAUCAAAUUCUCCAUGUACAAAUCCAUAUAAACAAGCACACAGAAUUGUAUCCAAUGCAGACAAACAUAGAGCAUCAGUUAUGAAACCCUCACAGAGCCUGGAGGCUCCCCACGGCUCCGUGACCCUGACCGUGCUAUGGAGACGCCCGCACAUUUGCACUUGACACUGAGAGCCAAAGGGCCGCGUGCUUCCCGUUACGUGGGCUGUCGUGAUUUGUAGUUUCCAAAGGUCUGUCCGCGUUUGCAUUUCUAGGUUUUCGAGGUAAGCACUUUUUGGUGGUGGUUUCGGAAAAUCACGUCAUGCCUAGAAUCUGAAAUUAAAUUCUUGAGAACCAACUGUUUGAGUUCUCCAUCUUUCCUUUGUUCUACCCUUUUUAAAUUGUUAGUCCUGAUAAUUUCAAAAUGCACCCCACCCCCCACCGCCCCAAAACAAUGAACAUUAAACUACUCUAAAAUCUCAACAUUUGCUGCCUGGUACUUCCUCACUGACAAGACUGGGGCCACUUCCGAGAUUAAAGCAGCCUCCUUGCCAGCCGUCUGUGGCUGAAGUAGGGCUUGAGGGUCUUUUACACUGUGACUUUGAAAACAAGGCAACUAAAAACCCUACUGUGUGUGUGUGUGUUAAAUGACUGUAUUUGCUAUAGUAAACUUUUUUUGAGAAGUAUCUAUUUCUACAUGGGACUUGUAACAGAAGCAGGUUACAGCACAAAUUUUGCU